UGGUAGAAGAUCAAGUGGCACUUGAGUCCC
rnacentral:piRNA from 2 species